UGGAGGAUAAAAAGUUCGAUUAUUCAAGUUUAUAUACUUCCGAAACUUUUCGGAGCCUGUCAAAAUACGACGAAUUCCCUUACAUCGAAUUUUUUCCCUUCUCACAGUUCUGCGAAAAAACCUUUUAGUUUUUUAUUAUUUUUUUUUUUGGAUCCUCUCAAUAUUUAUCUUUCACUUCGUGACGAGAAAUAAGAAAAUUGUGACCGAAAAAACAAACAUAACCUCUUUUGAUCCACAACCGUUUUUAUUUACUUUUGUUUUUUUCUGUUCGCGUAAUGGUUCCGUGAGAAUUAUUUUCCUUCUGCGAUCAAUUAGGCGUAGAUGUUUUCGUCACUCUUAGAGUUUUUGGACUAAAGAGAGAAAAACAUCGGUAUAAAAUGAGUUACCAUAAAGGUGGUGGUAGUAAACCUAAAGGCUUCGGAUUUACGAGCUUUCAAAUGGCCGGGACGAAACGUACUGGCGUUAAUAUUCCUCCACCCACUGCCAACAGUUCGGUACUCAGUAAACAAGGAUAUCACACAAUGAAUUCCAUAACGGAGAAUGCUUUGGCCGCAUGUUGGGGUGUUCCUAAAAAACGGAGCAAAACUGAAGAAGAAUAUUUUGAGGAUGAUGACGAAGCUCAAACCUCGGCAUUGGAAUACAUACCUGCACCUGGCUCCCCAACUUAUGAAUUAAUGAAGAAAAAUGAAGCAAAACAAGACAGCGACAGUGAAGAAGAUCCCUUGGAUGCUUUCAUGGCUGGCAUUGAGGCAGAGGUAAAAAAAAGUUCUAACGCACCUCGACACGAAGAAGUACAAAAGGAAGAAAAGUCCAAAGGUUUCCGGGCUGACAUAGACGGAGAGGAUGACGAAGAAAGUUACUAUAGGUACAUGGAAGAAAAUCCCACUGCGGGAUUGCAGCAAGAAGAUUCCGAUCAGGAGAUUGAGUAUGACGAUGAUGGGAAUCCGAUUGCACCACCAAAGAAAAAGGACAUAGAUCCAUUGCCACCGAUAGACCACAGCGAGAUUCAAUAUGACUCGUUUGAAAAAAAUUUCUACAACGUCCACGAGGAAAUAUCGAAUCUCGACAAGCAUCAAGUUCAAGAAUUGCGCAACACCCUUGGAAUCAAAGUUUCUGGUGCUUCGGUACCGAAUCCCGUCACCAGUUUUGGACACUUUGGUUUCGACGAUCCUCUCAUUAAAACGAUACGGAAAAACGAAUACACACAACCGACACCGAUUCAAGCUCAGGCUGUUCCUACAGCUCUCAGCGGACGUGACUUAAUAGGUAUCGCCAAAACCGGAAGCGGAAAAACUGCUGCUUUCAUUUGGCCGAUGUUAGUUCAUAUCAUGGAUCAAAAAGAACUCAAAGCUGGUGAUGGUCCAAUCGGAUUGAUUCUUGCACCUACGAGAGAACUUUCGCAACAGAUCUAUCAAGAAGCUAAGAAAUUCGGAAAAGUUUACAAUAUCCAAGUCUGCUGUUGCUACGGUGGUGGGAGUAAAUGGGAACAGAGCAAAGCUCUCGAGGGUGGAGCCGAAAUCGUCGUUGCUACGCCGGGACGGAUGAUCGACCUUGUUAAAAUGAAGGCCACGAAUCUUGCUCGCGUUACGUUUCUAGUACUUGACGAAGCUGACAGAAUGUUCGAUAUGGGUUUUGAGCCACAAGUUCGGUCAAUCUGCAAUCACGUUCGACCGGAUCGACAAACCCUUUUAUUCAGUGCGACCUUCAAAAAACGCGUCGAGAAAUUAGCCAGAGACGUGUUGACCGACCCCGUGAGAAUCGUUCACGGAGACGUGGGUGAAGCGAAUACAGAUGUGACGCAACACGUGAUAGUCUUUCACAAUAAUCCAAUCGGAAAAUGGUCGUGGCUGUUGCACAAUAUUGUCGAAUAUCUUAGCGCCGGUAGUUUGCUUAUAUUUGUCACGAAAAAGCUGAACGCAGAAGAGCUGGCGAACAAUUUGAAACUCAAGGAAUUCGACGUGAUGCUUUUGCACGGUGAUAUGGAUCAGAUUGAGAGAAACAAAGUUAUUACGGCGUUCAAGCGAAAGGACGUCAGUAUAUUGGUCGCGACUGACGUAGCAGCACGCGGUCUGGAUAUCCCUCACAUUAGAACCGUGAUUAAUUACGACGUGGCGCGAGACAUAGACACGCACACACAUCGAAUAGGACGAACGGGUCGAGCAGGCGAGAAAGGCACAGCUUACACUCUCGUAACGGAGAAAGACAAAGAAUUCGCCGGUCAUUUGGUGAGGAACCUCGAGGGUGCGAAUCAAGAAGUACCUAAAGGAUUGCUGGAUUUGGCGAUGCAGAGUUCGUGGUUCCGGAAAUCGAGAUUCAAAGGCGGGAAGGGCAAAAGUUUGAACGUCGGAGGCGCCGGACUCGGAUUUCGGGGACGAAAUGAAAACCAUUCGGCGCAGGUCGGCGGAACUUCCUCGCAAGCUCCUAAGGACAUAAGCGAAGUCGUGAAAAAACUGGAGAGACAGGGACCCGGCAGUGAUCGAUUGUCGGCCAUGAAAGCUGCCUUUAGAAGCCAGUACAGUUCUCAGUUUCGAGCGUCGUCGGAUCACACAUGGGAACAAACGAUACAACCGCCUUCGGUGAUAAUGCCUCCACCGCCUCCGCCUUCGGGCUCGGAUCAGACUUCCGGAGAAUCGGAGACGAAUCCAGCGCCACAAAAUUCGGAGGCUGCGGUAUCGGAAAAGAGUGAGCGAAAGAGAGUGAGGAAAAGCAGAUGGGAGUGAUGGAAAGGACCAAUGAGAGCCGUGAAUUGUACUUGUAAACCCGUCGAUGUUUUUUCUUCAAUCGAUUUGUUUUUUAUGAAUUCGAGGAACGAAAAAAGACACUUCGAUGAAUCUUGAAGAAAAUUUUAAUACAGUUUUUGAUCGCAGCGAUAAUUUUCCCGGAAGUUUUAUAAAAUCCAUUGGAAGAAAAAAAGCGAAAAUAUAUCGAACGAGAAUCGAUCUCGUUGCUGCGCAAUUGAGCGAUGAUGAUAAAUCGUCGCUGUUCGCGGCUUAAGCCGCGACGAAGGAGAACAGCAUCCAGUAAUUAGUCGGCUAACGUUUUUCUCCACCAUCGUCCGUUGUGUUUUUUGCCUCAAUUUUGUUUUUAUUCAUUGACAAACGGGACGUUAAUUAAUGCCAAGACUCGGGAGCUUUGGAGAAUAUUAUGAAUAAUUUUGCCUCCCCGAUACGAUCUUAUUUCGCUCUCAGGAUAUAUUAAUUGCGCAUUUUAUCGUUAUUUACGAAAUUUCUCUUUCAUAUUUUCAUUCCAAUUCCCAAUUCCGUUACACUUCGACUCGGAAUUAUUGAAAAAAACCCUUUUUAUUUUCUUCCCUUUCGAUUGUUCUUCCGUUCCAAACAUUUAUCUUCACUCCGAAUCGCGAAAACAUGAUUCUUCAUUUUUAUUCAAUUUUCUCGUUUAUUCGAUGGUCACAAAGCGUUAGCAUACUAAUUAGGGCGCCGCUGUUCUCCCGGACUGUUCCAAAAUCCUGGCCCUUCAGCACCUCGCACGAGGCGAACAAAUAAUUUCUGAGGAAGAAAAAAUAAUGACAAAAACUAAAAUACGAUAAAUAUUAUAAUCUUAAAUAGUAACGGGGCUUCGAUCGAGACGCGAUCUCGAAAUCGAUCGAUGCAAAUACGAGAUAACGCCCUCGCUGAAAUCCUCCGUAAAGCGUUCCCGAAUCGGUAAUCGCUAAUCGCAAUUGCAAAUACAUUUUAUAUAUAUAUAGGUAGAUUUAUAUUUAUAGAAAUCGAUGACAGCGAGGCUCGAUUUAUUCAAGACUAAUUGCAUUCGCGUGACACGUAUCAAUGAUCAUAAAUAUCUCUACAAAUCGAGCGACAUUAUGUUAUGAACGUUUUCUAUAUUUUUUCGUUUUUCCAUCCUUUUUACCAUCAUCAAUUCUUUCCUGGAACUGUCAUUGAACACACGUCAUUUUUCGAACGGAUUUUUUUUCCCCUUCGAUCAUUCGUUUCCUCGGACUUUCAUCGCUGGCUGGUUUUGUUAUCGAAAUUUCGUAAUUGCCCAACGAUUUUUUAUCCCAAAAUGAAAACUCUUUUGCCAAUUGAUUUCAGAGCAAGUUUUCGGGCCAGUUUUUCAUUAGUUUCAUUUUUUUAGCUCAAGCUUUCGAUUGCGUUGGUAACGAGGACGAAAAAAACAAAGGCUGCGCGAGACGAUCGCCGCUCUCCUCGCUUCUCAUUCGCAGUGAUUCACGAGUGCAAUUAUUUCCAAAAAUGGUCGUGCGACCCUGAAACUACAUUUUUUUAUCGCGCAGAAUCAAGUAUUAUU
rnacentral:misc_RNA from 1 species